ACUGGGCGUAAAGGGCACGCAGGCGGUGAUUUAAGUGAGGUGUGAAAGCCCCGGGCUUAACCUGGGAAUUGCAUUUCAUACUGGGUCGCUAGAGUACUUUAGGGAGGGGUAGAAUUCCACGUGUAGCGGUGAAAUGCGUAGAGAUGUGGAGGAAUACCGAAGGCGAAGGCAGCCCCUUGGGAAUGUACUGACGCUCAUGUGCGAAAGCGUGGGGAGCAAACAGGAUUAGAUACCCUGGUAGUCCACGCUGUAAACGAUGUCGAUUUGGGGGUUGAGCUUUAAGUUUGGCGCCCGUAGCUAACGUGAUAAAUCGACCGCCUGGGGAGUACGGCCGCAAGGUUAAAACUCAAAUGAAUUGACGGGGGCCCGCACAAGCGGUGGAGCAUGUGGUUUAAUUCGAUGCAACGCGAAGAACCUUACCUACUCUUGACAUCCAGAGAACUUUCCAGAGAUGGAUUGGUGCCUUCGGGAGCUCUGAGACAGGUGCUGCAUGGCUGUCGUCAGCUCGUGUCGUGAG
rnacentral:rRNA from 1 species